rnacentral:rRNA from 1 species
CCUACGGGUGGCAGCAGUGAGGAAUAUUGGUCAAUGGGCGAGAGCCUGAACCAGCCAAGUCGCGUGAAGGAUGACGGCCCUACGGGUUGUAAACUUCUUUUGUCAGGGAGCACUUGGGUCCACGCGUUGGCUUAGCGAGAGUACCUGAAGAAAAAGCAUCGGCUAACUCCGUGCCAGCAGCCGCGGUAAUACGGAGGAUGCGAGCGUUAUCCGGAUUUAUUGGGUUUAAAGGGUGCGUAGGCGGAAUAUCAAGUCCGCGGUAAAAAUCCGGGGCUCAACCCCGUCGUGCCGUUGAAACUGGUGUGCUUGAGUGGGCGAGAAGUAUGCGGAAUGCGUGGUGUAGCGGUGAAAUGCAUAGAUAUCACGCAGAACUCCGAUUGCGAAGGCAGCAUACCGGGGCGCAACUGACGCUGAGGCACGAAAGCGUGGGUAUCGAACAGGAUUAGAUACCCUAGUAGUC